GACGAACGCUGGCGGCGUGCCUAAUACAUGCAAGUCGAGCGGGGUUACUACGUCAGAUUCCUUCGGGAAGACGAUGUUUUAACCUAGCGGCGGACGGGUGAGUAACGCGUGGGUAACCUGCCCUAGAGACCGGGAUAACAACGGGAAACCGUUGCUAAUACCGGAUGCCUUUACAGGGAGGCAUCUUUCUGUAAAGAAAGCAUAAGCGCUCUAGGAUGGGCCCGCGUCCCAUUAGCUAGUUGGUGAGGUAACGGCUCACCAAGGCAGUGAUGGGUAGCCGGCCUGAGAGGGUGGACGGCCACACUGGGACUGAGACACGGCCCAGACUCCUACGGGAGGCAGCAGUAGGGAAUAUUGCGCAAUGGGCGAAAGCCUGACGCAGCGACGCCGCGUGGGUGAUGAAGGCCUUCGGGUUGUAAAACCCUGUCCUUGGGGAAGAAGGAAGUGACGGUACCCAAGGAGGAAGCCCCGGCUAACUACGUGCCAGCAGCCGCGGUAAAACGUAGGGGGCGAGCGU
rnacentral:rRNA from 1 species